rnacentral:rRNA from 1 species
GUGAGGAAUAUUGGUCAAUGGGCGAGAGCCUGAACCAGCCAAGUCGCGUGAAGGAAGAAGGAUCUAUGGUUCGUAAACUUCUUUUGCAGGGGAAUAAAGUGCGGGACGUGUCCUGUUUUGUAUGUACCCUGAGAAUAAGGAUCGGCUAACUCCGUGCCAGCAGCCGCGGUAAUACGGAGGAUCCGAGCGUUAUCCGGAUUUAUUGGGUUUAAAGGGUGCGUAGGUGGUUUGAUAAGUCAGCGGUGAAAGUUUGCAGCUUAACUGUAAAAAUGCCGUUGAAACUGUCGGACUUGAGUGUAAAUGAGGUAGGCGGAAAGCGUGGUGUAGCGAUGAAAUGCAUAGAUAUCACGCAGAACUCCGAUUGCGAAGGCAGCUUACUAAGCUACAACUGACACUGAAGCACGAAAGCGUGGGGAUCAAACAGGAUUAGAAACCCCAGUAGUCC